rnacentral:lncRNA from 1 species
AUCACUUUUAUUAACGAGUAAUCUUAAAUAGUAUCUAUAUCAUACAAUGAACAACAACAACAACAACAAAAAAAGCUCAUUCGAUCACACACUAAAGCCAGUAGAAAAUGGUCAUACAAUGUAGCAAAUUAAAUGGUUGUCUUCCUUAAUUAAAAUUGGAAAUUUGUAAUGAAGAUGAAAGUAGACCCCUAUAUAUAUAUACUGAACAAUGAUACAUAGUUUACGUGCGCAUGAUGUGAGUGGUGAUGUCAGAUUUGAGAGGAAAAUCUACUUUUUAUAUUAAAAUAAAAACUUUCUAGGGGUUUUGCUUUUGGUUAAAGUUGAAGAUAUCAAAGCAAAAAGAGACACAAAAAGCCACGCAGUCUCUGUCAUUAGCCCAUGACCUUAUCAUCCCACCAAAGAUUCCACAAACCCAUCAAAUACUUCAACAACACAAACUACUCCUUAUAAUGAUCUCCAUCUUUCUUCCAUAUCCCUUCAUUUCAACACCCAAAAACCCUAGAGUUUACUUACACUACAAUGGCUUUAGACACCCAUGGCCAGCAGCAGAAUCUGAUCAAGCCACCCCAUGUUGCCAUUGUCCCAACUCCAGGCAUAGGCCAUCUCACUCCCUCGUUGAGCUAGCUAAAUUACUCUCUUCAUCAUACUUUACCAUCACUUUCAUCAUCCC